rnacentral:rRNA from 1 species
UACAGAGGUCCCAAGCGUUGUUCGGAUUCACUGGGCGUAAAGGGUGCGUAGGCGGUCGGGUAAGUCUGAUGUGAAAUCUCACAGCUUAACUGUGAAACUGCAUUGGAUACUAUUCGGCUUGAGAGUUGGAGGGGGGACUGGAAUUCUUGGUGUAGCAGUGAAAUGCGUAGAUAUUGCUCGGAAGGCCAACGGCGAAGGCAGGUUACUGGUGCGCAACUGACACUGAGGCACGAAAGCGUGGGGAGCAAACAGG